rnacentral:ncRNA from 2 species
GGAACCCGGUGCAAAUCCGGGGCGGUCCCGCCGCUGUAAUCGGGGACGGGGGGAGCAGGUAAGCCAGGCCACUGCCGGGGUUCACCCCGGUGGGAAGGCCGCCUCCCUCCGGCUGAGCCGAGAGCCAGAAGAC